GCCGGUGUGGUGAAAUUGGUAGACACGAUAGACUCAAAAUCUAUUAGGAGCAAUCCUGUAUCGGUUCAAGUCCGAUCACCGGUA
rnacentral:tRNA from 1 species